GUGCCAGCAGCCGCGGUAAUACGUAGGUGGCAAGCGUUAUCCGGAAUUAUUGGGCGUAAAGCGCGCGUAGGCAGUUUUUUAAGUCUGAUGUGAAAGCCCACGGCUCAACCGUGGAGGGUCAUUGGAAACUGGAAAACUUGAGUGCAGAAGAGGAAAGUGGAAUUCCAUGUGUAGCGGUGAAAUGCGCAGAGAUAUGAAGGAACACCAGUGGCGAAGGCGACUUUCUGGUCUGUAACUGACGCUGAUGUGCGAAAGCGUGGGGAUCAAACAGGAUUAGAUAC
rnacentral:rRNA from 1 species